GGCUCCCAGCGCGCGGGAGAAGCAGACAAAGGAGAAAAAAGAAGAAAAAAGAAGAAAACCCGCCGCUUUUCGCCCCCGCCGCCUGCAGCCGCCGCCGCCGCUUGUGGAGCAGCUAUCGCCGCGGGGGAAUCCGAGGCCCCUGACCGGACUCAGGACGCCCCCAGACCCCGAGCUCCCUCGCUGGAGGCUGCAGGAAGAUUCCCAGAGGGUCACAGAGGGCCCCAGUGUCCACAGACUCUGCCCAGACGGCGACCAGGACUCCACCGGGGGCCUGGGCCGUGCCCAGAGAGGCUUCAGACGCUGACCCCACGUCUCCCCUGUGCCCUCUGCUGGCCCAUGACCGGACUCAGGACGACCCCGGACCCCGAGAUCCCUUGCUGGAGGCUGCAUGAAGAUGCACAGAGGGCCACAGAGGGCCACAGAGCGUCCCAGUGUCCACAGACUCUGCCCAGACGGCGACCAGGACUCCACCAGAGGCCUGGGCCGUGC